UGCGGCUAACUUAGAGCGACGCAAAAAAACUAUAUAUAUUGGUUUUCAUAAUGAGGGAUCCUAGAUUUCUCCCCCAAAUUUUUCUGAAACCUAACGUUGCUAAAACCCUCCCAAAUCAUCAAAUCUCCUUCUGCUCCUGCCCCAAGAGAAGUGCACCGGCCAAAAACUCCAACAAGGAAGAUCAUGGUGAUGAAAAUAUUCUUUAGAUUCUAAAAAGGCAAAGUUGGUUUGGCUGACUUCCCUACUCCACAAUCACUUCUUGCAAGCAAUAAGAUACAUUGGCUUGGAAAGUAGGUACACAUAUAUACUGCAUCAGUUACCAAGUAACACAAAGGUUGGACUUAGUCCAACGGUUACUUUUUUGUCAGCUGUGCAAUGAGAUGAAGUUGGUUUGAACCAGAGAAGAAAGUCUACCAUGAAGUGCAUUUAGCUCUCCAAGAACGAGAAAUCAGUGAUUUUAUACCAAAGAGACUUGAGAAGUGAUGCUAAACAGCUGCUGACGAAGACAUGACUAGCUUUCAAGGGCAUAAUGGAGUUCCAAAUAAACUCAAGCCAAGGGAAGAUAGAAUGGUGAUUACGCCUUAAUAGCUACCAAGCUUGUGAAGAAGUAAAAAUGCUGUUUGAGUUAUGCUUCUAAACCCGAGUAUCUGAUCUUGUUUUCAGCUUGGUAGGAGUUUUGAAAACUCCAGAAAUCAAUGCUUGAUCCACAAAUUCUGCA